UUCUGCAACGUUCCCGCACUGGGUUUGUGGAAGAGGGGGAGCAGCACAAGUCAAACCACAGAAACGUGAAAGCACACGGUGACAUGAAC
rnacentral:misc_RNA from 1 species